rnacentral:rRNA from 1 species
UACGUAGGGGGCAAGCGUUGUCCGGAAUCAUUGGGCGUAAAGAGCGUGUAGGCGGCCCGGUAAGUCCGCUGUGAAAGUCCAGGGCUCAACCCUGGGAUGCCGGUGGAUACUGUCGGGCUCGAGUCCGGAAGAGGAGUGUGGAAUUCCUGGUGUAGCGGUGAAAUGCGCAGAUAUCAGGAGGAACACCGGUGGCGAAGGCGGAUCUCUGGGCCAUUACUGACGCUGAGGAGCGAAAGCGUGGGGAGCGAACAGG